rnacentral:misc_RNA from 1 species
GAUGAAGAACGUAGUGAAAUGCGAUAACUAAUGUGAAUUGCAGAAUUCCGUGAAUCAUCGAAUCUUUGAACGCACAUUGCGCCCCCUGGUAUUCCGGGGGGCAUGCCUGUUCGAGCGUCAUUUCACCACUCAAGCCUCGCUUGGUAUUGGGCAACGCGGUCCGCCGCGUGCCUCAAAUCGACCGGCUGGGUCUUCUGUCCCCUAAGCGUUGUGGAAACUAUUCGCUAAAGGGUGUUCGGGAGGCUACGCCGUAAAACAACCCCAUUUCUAAGGUUGACCUCGGAUCAGGUAGGGAUACCCGCUGAACUUAAGCAUAUCAAUAAGCGGAGGA